UACGUAGGGUGCGAGCGUUAAUCGGAAUUACUGGGCGUAAAGCGUGCGCAGGCGGUUUUGUAAGCCAGAUGUGAAAUCCCCGGGCUUAACCUGGGAAUGGCAUUUGUGACUGCAAGGCUUGAGUGCGGCAGAGGAGACUGGAAUUCCUGGUGUAGCAGUGAAAUGCGUAGAUAUCAGGAGGAACACCGAUGGCGAAGGCAGGUCUCUGGGCUGACACUGACGCUCAUGCACGAAAGCGUGGGGAGCAAACAGG
rnacentral:rRNA from 1 species